GACGAACGCUGGCGGCGUGCCUAACACAUGCAAGUCGAACGGAGUGGCGGACGGGUGAGUAACGCGUAAUCAACCUGCCCUUCAGGGGGGGAAAACAGUGGGAAACGACUGCUAAUACCGCAUACUGAAGAGGGGGUUUGCGUGUGAUUAGCUAGUUGGGGGGGUAACGGCUCACCAAGGCGAUGAUCAGUAGCGGGUCGGAGAGGGUGAUCGGCCACACUGGAACUGAGACACGGCCCAGACUCCUACGUGAGGCAGCAGUGGGGAAUAUUGGGCAAUGGGCGCAAGUCUGACACAGCAACGCCGCGUGAGUGAAGAAGGUUUUCGGGUCGUAAAGCACUUUUUGUAGGGAGCGGUAUCUAACCAGAAAGCCACGGCUAACUACGUGCCAGCAGCCGCGGUAAUUC
rnacentral:rRNA from 1 species